rnacentral:rRNA from 1 species
AGCAGUAGCCGCGGGAAUACGUAGGUGGCAAGCGUUGUCCGGAAUUAUUGGGCGUAAAGGGCUCGCAGGCGGUUUCUUAAGUCUGAUGUGAAAGCCCCCGGCUCAACCGGGGAGGGUCAUUGGAAACUGGGAAACUUGAGUGCAGAAGAGGAGAGUGGAAUUCCACGUGUAGCGGUGAAACGCGUAGAGAUGUGGAGGAACACCAGUGGCGAAGGCGACUCUCUGGUCUGUAACUGACGCUGAGGAGCGAAAGCGUGGGGAGCGAACAGGAUUAGAUACCCGCGUAGUCCCUGUCUCUUAUAC